rnacentral:rRNA from 1 species
GAUGAACGCUGGCGGCGUGCUUAACACAUGCAAGUCGAACGGAAAGGCCCUGCUUUUGUGGGGUGCUCGAGUGGCGAACGGGUGAGUAACACGUGAGUAACCUGCCCUUGACUUUGGGAUAACUUCAGGAAACUGGGGCUAAUACCGGAUAGGAGCUCCUGCUGCAUGGUGGGGGGUGGAAAGUUUCGGCGGUCGGGGAUGGACUCGCGGCUUAUCAGCUUGUUGGUGGGGUAGUGGCUUACCAAGGCUUUGACGGGUAGCCGGCCUGAGAGGGUGACCGGCCACAUUGGGACUGAGAUACGGACCAGACUCCUACGGGAGGCAGCAGUGGGGAAUAUUGCACAAUGGGCGGAAGCCUGAUGCAGCAACGCCGCGUGCGGGAUGACGGCCUUCGGGUUGUAAACCGCUUUCGCCUGUGACGAAGCGUGAGUGACGGUAAUGGGUAAAGAAGCACCGGCUAACUACGUG